ensembl:snoRNA
UCAGACUGAAAAUGACCUCAGGUGUCAUCGGUGGUCUGAGGUCAGAUAUCUGAGCCUACAGUAUUCUGGAGCGUUAAGCUUAUCACCUGCUCCCCCGGUGGCAGAGCGAUAAAACCCAUGUUCCCACAACA